CGGUGACAGGUGGUGCAUGGUUGUCGUCAGCUCGUGUCGUGAGAUGUUGGUUAAGUCCCGCAACGAGCGCAACCCUUGUCAUUAGUUGCCAUCAUUUAGUUGGGCACUCUAAUGAGACUGCCGGGGAGUAACUCGGAGGAAGGUGGGGAUGACGUCAAAUCAUCAUGCCCCUUAUGUCCUGGGCUACACACGUGCUACAAUGGCUGGUACAAAGAGACGCAAGACCGCGAGGUGGAGCAAAUCUUCAAAACCAGUCCCAGUUCGGAUUGUAGGCUGAAACUCGCCUGCAUGAAGUCGGAGUUGCUAGUAAUCGUGAAUCAGAAUGUCACGGUGAAUGCGUUCCCGGGUCUU
rnacentral:rRNA from 1 species